rnacentral:rRNA from 1 species
GUACGGAAGGCAGCAGGUGGGGAAUAUUGCACAAUGGGCGCAAGCCUGAUGCAGCCAUGCCGCGUGUAUGAAAAAGGCCUUCGGGUUGUAAAGUACUUUCAGUCGUGAGGAAGGUGUUAAGGUUAAUAACCUUAGCAAUUGACGUUAGCGACAGAAGAAGCACCGGCUAACUCCGUGCCAGCAGCCGCGGUAAUACGGAGGGUGCGAGCGUUAAUCGGAAUUACUGGGCGUAAAGGGCACGCAGGCGGUUAAUUAAGUUGGAUGUGAAAUCCCCGGGCUUAACCUGGGAAUGGCAUUCAAGACUGGUUAGCUAGAGUCUUGUAGAGGGGGUAGAAUUCCAUGUGUAGCGGUGAAAUGCGUAGAGAUGUGGAGGAAUACCGGUGGCGAAGGCGGCCCCCUGGACAAAGGACUGACGCUCAUGUGCGAAAGCGUGGGGAGGCAAACAGGGAUUAGAUACC